rnacentral:rRNA from 1 species
CCUACGGGAGGCAGCAGUGGGGAAUCUUCCGCAAUGGGCGAAAGCCUGACGGAGCAACGCCGCGUGGGCGAUGAAGGCCUUCGGGUCGUAAAGCCCUUUUCUGUGGGACGAUAAUGACGGUACCACAGGAAUAAGCCACGGCUAACUACGUGCCAGCAGCCGCGGUAAUACGUAGGUGGCUAGCGUUAUCCGGAUUCACUGGGCGUAAAGAGCGCGUAGGCGGUGUGCUAAGUUGGACGUGAAAGCCCCCGGCUUAACCGGGGGAGGUCGUCCAAUACUGGUGCACUUGAGGGUGGACGGGGAAAGCGGAAUUCCCGGUGUAGGGGUGAAAUGCGUAGAUAUCGGGAGGAACACCAGUGGCGAAGGCGGCUUUCUGGGGUGCAACUGACGCUGAGGCGCGAAAGCUAGGGGAGCGAACGGGAUUAGAUACCCCUGUAGU